UACAGAGGCCUCGAGCGUUAGGCGGAAUCACUGGGCUUAAAGCGUGUGUAGGUGGAUGCCUAAGUACCUUGUGAAAUCCCACGGCUUAACCGUGGAAUUGCUUGGCAUACUGGGUGUCUUGAGCCACUCAGGGGCUACCGGAACAAGCGGUGGAGCGGUGAAAUGCGUAGAUAUCGCUUGGAACGCCAAUGGUGAAAACAGGUAGCUGGGGGUGUGCUGACACUGAGACACGAAAGCCAGGGGAGCAAACGGGAUUAGAAACCCUCGUAGUCC
rnacentral:rRNA from 1 species